rnacentral:lncRNA from 1 species
CUGCCCCAAGACGGCGGGCACGAUCACCAACCGGGAAUCGGUUGGUGCCGCGGGUGGGCAAAGGCAACACUGCGGAGUGGAAGGCGGUGCGGAGGGUGGUGCUGGCGGCAUGAAAGGCGUCUUUGUGCGGGACUUGGGGGUGAAGAGGCGGUGAGAAUGGAGAGAGCUGAGCCGGGACCUGGAGGCUGGGAUUCUGGGACGCCGCUACCCGUCACUCCUUGGCGGAGCUGGAAAGAUCCGGGUAGUGCCGACAGGGGGCGGUGUGGCGCUGGAGGGGGGGCGGUGAAGGCCCCUAGGUUUGGUCUUCUUUGAGACCUGAGGCCAGAGAAAGACACUUCGAGAAAGCGGGAGGGAAUUGAGGGAUUUGCCUCCCCGCCCCACUCCCUAGGUGUCCGCGAGAUCGCGCUGGCUGGAAGGGCACAGCCCCUCGCUCGGCGCUCACUCAGCAGUCAGGGAGGCGAGAGAGCGGCCCCCGAGGCGGAGCCUCCCUCCAGCCCCCGGGUAUCGCUGCCCCCACCUGGGGGAGAGAGGCGGGCGCCGCGCUGCCCUCCCUCUGCGCCCCCGCCGCGUGGCUUGCGGCUUAUUUUCCCAGCUGGCAAGCGUCGCGCUGCAGACAAGGGAAUGCCUGUGGUCCUGCGUGCUCCAGAGCUCAGGGGAUCCCUGAUCCCGUCAAGCCCCCUCCAGGAUCGGAAGGGUUAAGAAUGAUGAAGGGAAAUGUCAGAGGAACAAUAACGCCAGAGCCUCGCACAGCUGCCAGCGAAUUCCGCCGGGAGCUGGUGGGUACCUUCCCAGCCCAUCCGAUCUGUUCUGGACCGCAGGUCACAGUCGGAUUUCCAACGCCGCUGGGCGCUAUCUUUACCAAACGUCCGGAAAAGGCUCCGAACGCGGUUUGGCAGUUGUGAUUGGCUGGGGAGGGACCUGCCGCACCGCGCUCGGUAAAAGCGCCCACUUCCUCUCAGGAGCCAGAGCUGGAGCGGGAGGGGCAGAGUGGGGGUGAUUUAAUACACACACACACACACACCCCAAAAAAACCUUUGGGGGAAGCUGAACCCAAUCAACAUAAAAGUAGAAGUCAAAGCCGGUUCCUUUGUAACGCCGGCAAGAGAGAGUUGCCGUCUCCAGUUUCUGUAGGGCACGAGGAAACAGUAGCUCGCGGAAAGGGGUGAAGAGGAGGGAACAGGAGGGAGGCUGGGCCCGGGCGCGG